UCAAUGGAAACGGCAGAAAAAGAAAUGAUGCUGACAGAAUUCAUAAGGAGAGAUGCCCCAGAGGAAGAAGAGAGAAGUGGGACAGACUUAUGCUCUCAGUUCCAGGGCAACUUUCUCAAGUAUUAAGUAGCAAGGCAGCAAGCAUUGUUGUGUCCUGCAAGACUCUAAGGCCACUGCUGGGCUAGCAGCACAAGCCAUCUCCUAGCCAAC
rnacentral:lncRNA from 1 species